rnacentral:tRNA from 1 species
GCCUUUAUAGCUCAAGGGAUAGAGCGCGAUCCUUCGGAGGUUGAGAUCGGGGUUCAAAUCCUCGUAGGGGCA